GAUGAACGCUGACAGAAUGCUUAACACAUGCAAGUCGAUGGGGAAGUGGUGCUUGCACCCUGGCAACCAUGGCGGACGGGUGAGUAACGCGUAAGGGACUUACCUGCAGGACUGGGAUAACAGGGGGAAACUCCUGACAAGACCGGAUAAUGUCAUGGAGCUGCAUGGCUUUAUGAUGAAAGGAGACGCCUGCGGAGAGCCUUGCGUCCUAUUAGCUAGUUGGUGAGGUAAUGGCUCACCAAGGCGAAGAUAGGUAGCCGGCCUGAGAGGGUGGACGGCCACAAGGGGACUGAGAUACGGCCCUUACUCCUACGGGAGGCAGCAGUGGGGAAUAGUGGACAAUGGGGGCAACCCUGAUCCAGCAAUUCUGUGUGCACGAAGAAGGUUUUCGGAUUGUAAAGUGCUUUCAGCAGGGAAGAAGUAAGUGACGGUACCUGCAGAAGAAGCGACGGCUAAAUACGUG
rnacentral:rRNA from 1 species